UACGGAGGGUGCGAGCGUUGUCCGGAAUCAUUGGGCGUAAAGGGCGCGUAGGUGGCCUGGUCAGCGUGCGGUGAAAGCUCGGGGCUCAACCCCCGAGUCGGCCGUGCGAACUGCUGGGCUUGAGCACUGUAGAGGCAGGCGGAAUUCCGGGUGUAGCGGUGGAAUGCGUAGAGAUCCGGAAGAACACCGGUGGCGAAGGCGGCCUGCUGGGCAGUAGCUGACACUGAGGGCGCGACAGCGUGGGGGGAGCAAAACAGG
rnacentral:rRNA from 1 species